GACGAACGCUGGCGGCGUGCUUAACACAUGCAAGUCGAACGGAAAGGCCCUGCUUUUGUGGGGUGCUCGAGUGGCGAACGGGUGAGUAACACGUGAGUAACCUGCCCUUGACUUUGGGAUAACUUCAGGAAACUGGGGCUAAUACCGGAUAGGAGCUCCUGCUGCAUGGUGGGGGUUGGAAAGUUUCGGCGGUUGGGGAUGGACUCGAGGCUUAUCAGCUUGUUGGUGGGGUAGUGGCUUACCAAGGCUUUGACGGGUAGCCGGCCUGGGAGGGUGACCGGCCACAUUGGGACUGAGAUACGGCCCAGACUCCUACGGGAGGCAGCAGUGGGGAAUAUUGCACAAUGGGCGGAAGCCUGAUGCAGCAACGCCGCGUGCGGGAUGACGGCCUUCGGGUUGUAAACCGCUUUCGCCUGUGACGAAGCGUGAGUGACGGUAAUGGGUAAAGAAGCACCGGCUAACUACGUG
rnacentral:rRNA from 1 species